AUUGAACGCUGGCGGCAGGCCUAACACAUGCAAGUCGAACGAGUGGCGGACGGGUGAGUAAUGUCUGGGAAACUGCCUGAUGGAGGGGGAUAACUACUGGAAACGGUAGCUAAUACCGCAUACCAUCGGAUGUGCCCAGAUGGGAUUAGCUAGUGGUUGGGGUAAAGGCUCACCUAGGCGACGAUCCCUAGCUGGUCUGAGAGGAUGACCAGCCAAACGGGAACUGAGACAAGGUCCAGAAUCCUACGGGAGGCAGCAGUGGGGAAUAGUGCACAAUGGGCGCAAGCCUGAUGCAGCCAUGCCGCGUGUAUGAAGAAGGCCUUCGGGUUGUAAAGUACUUGCAGCGGGGAGGCGUUACCCGCAGAAGAAGCACCGGCUAACUCCGUGCCAGCAGCCGCGGUAAUUC
rnacentral:rRNA from 1 species